GGGGUGCUCGAGUGGCGAACGGGUGAGUAACACGUGAGUAACCUGCCCUUGACUUUGGGAUAACUUCAGGAAACUGGGGCUAAUACCGGAUAGGAGCUCCUGCUGCAUGGUGGGGGUUGGAAAGUUUCGGCGGUUGGGGAUGGACUCGCGGCUUAUCAGCUUGUUGGUGGGGUAGUGGCUUACCAAGACUUUGACGGGUAGCCGGCCUGAGAGGGUGACCGGCCACAUUGGGACUGAGAUACGGCCCAG
rnacentral:rRNA from 1 species